rnacentral:rRNA from 1 species
CAGCCGCCGCGGUAAUACAGAGGGUGCGAGCGUUAAUCGGAUUUACUGGGCGUAAAGCGUGCGUAGGCGGCUUCUUAAGUCGGAUGUGAAAUCCCUGAGCUUAACUUAGGAAUUGCAUUCGAUACUGGGAAGCUAGAGUAUGGGAGAGGAUGGUAGAAUUCCAGGUGUAGCGGUGAAAUGCGUAGAGAUCUGGAGGAAUACCGAUGGCGAAGGCGGCCAUCUGGCCUAAUACUGACGCUGAGGUACGAAAGCAUGGGGAGCAAACAGGAUUAGAUACCCCUGUAGUCCUGUCUCUUAUACA